rnacentral:rRNA from 1 species
UGGGGAAUAUUGCACAAUGGGCGAAAGCCUGAUGCAGCAACGCCGCGUGAGUGAUGAAGGCCUUCGGGUUGUAAAGCUCUGUCUUUUGGGACGAUAAUGACGGUACCAAAGGAGGAAGCCACGGCUAACUACGUGCCAGCAGCCGCGGUAAUACGUAGGUGGCAAGCGUUGUCCGGAUUUACUGGGCGUAAAGGAUGCGUAGGCGGAUUUUUAAGUGAGAUGUGAAAACCCUAAGCUUAACUUGGGGACUGCAUUUCAUACUGGAAAUCUAGAGUGCGGGAGAGGAGAAUGGAAUUCCUAGUGUAGCGGUGAAAUGCGUAGAGAUUAGGAAGAACACCAGUGGCGAAGGCGAUUCUCUGGACCGUAACUGACGCUGAGGCAUGAAAGCGUGGGUAGCAAACAGGAUUAGAUACCCUGGUAGUCCACGCCGUAAACGAUGAGUACUAGGUGUAGGAGGUAUCGACCCCUUCUGUGCCGCAGUUAACACAAUAAGUACUCCGCCUGGGAAGUACGAUCGCAAGAUUAAAAACUCAAAU